rnacentral:rRNA from 1 species
AUGAACGCUAGCUACAGGCUUAACACAUGCAAGUCGAGGGGCAGCAUGGUCUUAGCUUGCUAAGGCUGAUGGCGACCGGCGCACGGGUGAGUAACACGUAUCCAACCUGCCGUCUACUCUUGGCCAGCCUUCUGAAAGGAAGAUUAAUCCAGGAUGGCAUCAUGAGUUCACAUGUCCGCAUGAUUAAAGGUAUUUUCCGGUAGACGAUGGGGAUGCGUUCCAUUAGAUAGUAGGCGGGGUAACGGCCCACCUAGUCAACGAUGGAUAGGGGUUCUGAGAGGAAGGUCCCCCACAUUGGAACUGAGACACGGUCCAAACUCCUACGGGAGGCAGCAGUGAGGAAUAUUGGUCAAUGGGCGAUGGCCUGAACCAGCCAAGUAGCGUGAAGGAUGACUGCCCUAUGGGUUGUAAACUUCUUUUAUAAAGGAAUAAAGUCGGGUAUGCAUACCCGUUUGCAUGUACUUUAUGAAUAAGGAUCGGCUAACUCCGUGCCAGCAGCCGCGGUAAUACGGAGGAUCCGAGCGUUAUCCGGAUUUAUUGGGUUUAAAGGGAGCGUAGAUGGAUGUUUAAGUCAGUUGUGAAAGUUUGCGGCUCAACCGUAAAAUUGCAGUUGAUACUGGAUGUCUUGAGUGCAGUUGAGGCAGGCGGAAUUCGUGGUGUAGCGGUGAAAUGCUUAGAUAUCACGAAGAACUCCGAUUGCGAAGGCAGCCUGCUAAGCUGCAACUGACAUUGAGGCUCGAAAGUGUGGGUAUCAAACAGGAUUAGAUACCCUGGUAGUCCACACGGUAAACGAUGAAUACUCGCUGUUUGCGAUAUACGGCAAGCGGCCAAGCGAAAGCGUUAAGUAUUCCACCUGGGGAGUACGCCGGCAACGGUGAAACUCAAAGGAAUUGACGGGGGCCCGCACAAGCGGAGGAACAUGUGGUUUAAUUCGAUGAUACGCGAGGAACCUUACCCGGGCUCAAACGGCGGCGGACAGGGACAGAGACGUCCCCUCCUACGGGCCACCGCCGAGGUGCUGCAUGGUUGUCGUCAGCUCGUGCCGUGAGGUGUCGGCUUAAGUGCCAUAACGAGCGCAACCCUUGUUGUCAGUUACUAACAGGUGAUGCUGAGGACUCUGACAAGACUGCCAUCGUAAGAUGUGAGGAAGGUGGGGAUGACGUCAAAUCAGCACGGCCCUUACGUCCGGGGCUACACACGUGUUACAAUGGGGGGUACAGAGGGCCGCUACCACGCGAGUGGAUGCCAAUCCCUAAAACCCCUCUCAGUUCGGACUGGAGUCUGCAACCCGACUCCACGAAGCUGGAUUCGCUAGUAAUCGCGCAUCAGCCACGGCGCGGUGAAUACGUUCCCGGGCCUUGUACACACCGCCCGUCAAGCCAUGGGAGCCGGGGGUACCUGAAGUGCGUAACCGCGAGGAUCGCCCUAGGGUAAAACUGGUGACUGGGGCU